rnacentral:rRNA from 1 species
GAUGAACGCUAGCGGCAGGCUUAAUACAUGCAAGUCGAGGGGCAGCAUGGUGUAGCAAUAUACUGAUGGCGACCGGCAAACGGGUGCGGAACACGUACAGAACCUUCCUUCGAGCGGGGGAUAGCCCAGAGAAAUUUGGAUUAAUACCCCAUAGUACAACGGAGUGGCAUCGCUUUGUUGUUAAAGAUUUAUCACUUGAAGAUGGCUGUGCGGCUGAUUAGGUAGUUGGCGGGGUAACGGCCCACCAAGCCUGCGAUCAGUAACUGGUGUGAGAGCACGACCAGUCACACGGGCACUGAGACACGGGCCCGACUCCUACGGGAGGCAGCAGUAAGGAAUAUUGGUCAAUGGACGAAAGUCUGAACCAGCCAUGCCGCGUGGAGGAUGAAGGUCCUCUGGAUUGUAAACUUCUUUUAUAUGGGCGAAAAAAGGCCUUUCUAGGUCGUCUGACGGUACCAUAUGAAUAAGCACCGGCUAACUCCGUGCCAGCAGCCG